AACGAACGCUGGCGGCAGGCUUAACACAUGCAAGUCGAACGCUGUAGCAAUACAGAGUGGCAGACGGGUGAGUAACGCGUGGGAACGUGCCUUUCGGUUCGGAAUAACUCAGGGAAACUUGAGCUAAUACCGGAUACGCCCUUCGGGGGAAAGAUUUAUUGCCGAAAGAUCGGCCCGCGUCCGAUUAGCUAGUUGGUGAGGUAACGGCUCACCAAGGCGACGAUCGGUAGCUGGUCUGAGAGGAUGAUCAGCCACACUGGGACUGAGACACGGCCCAGACUCCUACGGGAGGCAGCAGUGGGGAAUAUUGGACAAUGGGCGCAAGCCUGAUCCAGCCAUGCCGCGUGAGUGAUGAAGGCCCUAGGGUUGUAAAGCUCUUUCGCCAGGGACGAUAAUGACGGUACCUGGAUAAGAAGCCCCGGCUAACUUCGUGCCAGCCGCCGCCGUAAUAC
rnacentral:rRNA from 1 species